rnacentral:tmRNA from 1 species
AGUCUAGUAUUUCCACCCGAUCGCGCCUAUAUUCAGGCUGUCGAAAGACGAUGGCGCUGAAACUCUGAGCGGACUGCAGGCAGACCCGGGGGCAGUACCCGGCGCCUCCACCCUAGCAGCUUGAUCUUGCCGGAAGGCGAUCUGCAAAAGGCUGCUACGGCGGGGGCGAAACAGGAUCGAUGGCUGCGAAGAAGCUCUGAAUUGUGCUCGGCAUGAUACCGCCGUUAUCGGGUCAAAAACCUAAAUGCAAACGAUAACGUUGCAUUGAACGAAGUGCGCCUCGCGGCGUA